UACGUAGGGUGCGAGCGUUACUCGGAAUUACUGGGCGUAAAGCGUGCGCAGGCGGUUCGUUAAGUCAGCUGUGAAAGCCCCGGGCUCAACCUGGGAAUUGCGGUUGAAACUGGCGAACUAGAAUCUGGCAGAGGGGGGUGGAAUUCCACGUGUAGCAGUGAAAUGCGUAGAGAUGUGGAGGAACACCGAUGGCGAAGGCAGCCCCCUGGGCUGAGAUUGACGCUCAGGCACGAAAGCGUGGGGAGCAAACAGG
rnacentral:rRNA from 1 species